GCUGCUGGCCGCGUGGGAUGACCCUUGCCCUCCGAAGGCAAAGGUCACACGUUCGAAUCGUGUCGGCGGCGCCA
rnacentral:tRNA from 1 species